AGUCUAUUCACAACUUUUGUAGGAUAUAUUUAAUUUACAACUAGUGAAACUGACCCUAAGUUGGUCAUGUUGAGUUCGUGGGUGUACUUGUGACCUUGCAAUAGUGCCGAAUUCAGCCUGUAACAUCCCACUGCUGGGCAUAGGCGUCUUUUUCCAUAUAGGAGAAAUAUCGGAAAUUCAAAAUUAUCCUCAAAACGCGAUAUAUAUCGCUGUACAUAUAAAUCAAAAUAGACAAUAUACAGUAUAAUUUUUAAAAAAACAUACAUUUUGCCUCGGCGCGAUCGCAGUUUACAGUGUCCUUUUAUGUGUAAAUUGUAGUAUAUAGGUAUUAGUGAAAAUGAGGGUUUAGAAAACUUAUAAUUAGACCAGUCCUCAGAAUUGAACUUAUGCAUAUUUGACAAAGACUUAAAUAUUUUUUUUAAUUUCGAAACUAUUACUAUCGUCGUAUAAAAGUAUAUAUAUGGAAUAGCUAUAUAUUGAUACGUGAAGCCAAAACUUUGUAGCCCUUUUUACAAAAAUUGUGCAGACGGAGGAGUAUGAAAUUUCGCACACUUGUAAUUUAUAUUGAGAAGAAGUGCAGAAGGCUAACAUUUUUUUAAAUUAUGCUUAAAAAUACAUUAAAUCAAUAAAAAACGCAUAAAUACUUCUUUUGUUUAAUGUUCAAAUUUAUAGUUUAAAUUAAUUAUGGUCGAAUUUCGAACACUGGGCUACCAUUAGUAUUGCUGGGUGUGUAGUAGGUGCUAGGUUUAUUUGAAAAAAAAAAAUAGAAAUUGGCGAAGCCUUUUGGCAUAACUGAAAGUCAUUGGUUCAACAUACACACAUAUAUAAUAUUUAAAUCAUAAUUAAUAUGUAUAUAGGCCUUUUUUAUAAUUUUAAAUAUUUAAUUUGUACAUCGUUCUUAAUUCCAUUGAAUAAAAUAAAAAAUAAAUUUAUCGUAUAAGUUUUCAAUUAUAAUAAAAUAUUAGAUGUUUUCUAAUAGACAUCGCUUCUAUAGGAUACGGUAACUGCUUACCAUCUGGUGAGCCGUAUGCUUGUUUGCCGAUUAAAUCGUAUAAAAAUAAAAGUUUAUCUAGCUCGAUAUAUGGUUUCGUAGUUUCAUUGUUUCACAAUGUACAUGUAGUUAAAUAUAUAUUGACUGAUAAUCACUGCUCAUUUGUAAAAAAAUUAUUUAAAAGUCUCAUUGUUUUCGUUUAAUUGUGGCCAUAUUCAUUUCUUAAAUAUUAUGCGUUAAAUAUAAUAAACAAAUUGUGCCUGUGUCAGAAUUCGCUUCCUUGUAUCAGUAAUAUGUUAUAUGAUAUAUAAUCGUAUUUAUCUCAUCUAUUGUAUGUCUAUCAUUGUAUUAAAUGACUAUUAAUAUGUGAAAUUUAGUAAAUAUUUCAUGAAUUUCGUCCUUGUGUCUAUUUAUCAAUUUUAUCUUAUCGUGUAACCUUUUUUCUAUUAGGAUAUUCUAAUAUAAACAGUCAUCGGGGUCGCUAGUUCUUUGUAUAUAAAAUUAAGUACGUAGAUUUUGUAUGUAACAUUAUUCGUUUGUUAUAUAUUAAAGUUUAAGACAAGAAUAUUACCGCGCUUUUAAUUAUAAUGUCAGAUAGUUCAUGUAUUGAUAGAAUUUGAAAUCUAUGCAACUGUCAAAAUUUACAGUAUUAUGCAUACUUUUAAUUGUUUACAAUGUUAAUCCACUCAUUCCUUCAGAAGUAAUUUUAUUUUUAUAUCAGUGUUACUCAAUAAGAACUGUGGUAAGAUAUGAAACUUUUAAAUUACUGUUGAAUAAUCAGUGUAAAUCCCACUAUAUAAAUGCAUACUCAGUGUUACAAAAAUGUAGAAAAAUGGUUGUUGCAAUUUAUUUAAUUACAAAUGGAAUUGUUAAAAUUAAAUUUGAUAUUCUGUCUUAAUAUUUCAUUUACACUCCUGAACAAUUGGAUAUUCUAAGAAAACCUUAUAAAUUGUUAUUAUAAACGUUAAAUAAAAAAAUGAAGAUUAAUUUCUGUUUUGCAAUAU
rnacentral:misc_RNA from 1 species